UUGCAAAUGGUCACUUUGCCGAGUGUCAUCUCUCCGCCACUCAGCAAAGUGACCAGAAUCGACCUAUUUUUCAUUUUUUUACAUUUUACCACGAAAAAUACAAUAUAUCACAUAUAUUUCACAUUCUUCAAAGAUAUCUUAGAUAUAUCUCAUAUUCAUCAUAUAAAUCUCACAUCCAUCACAUAAAUAUCAUAGACAUCACAUAAAUGUCACAUCUAAACAAAUCCAUAAGUCCAUCUAAACAAAUUCACAAGUCCAUUACAAGUUCAUCUAAACAAAUCCAUAAGUCCAUCACAAGUGCAAAUAAUUAACACAAGUGCAUCGUAAGUCCAUCACCAACUAAACAACAAAUGCAAGAGAGAACUAGCCGGGUCCCCAAGUUCCCCACUGCGACUGUGGUGUACCAUGACCGGGAUCAAUAGAGGGCCCGACCGAUGGAUUAUUCGAACCGGCGGUUGGAGGCAAUCACCUAGAGUGAUAAUCCGCUGCUGUGAAGUCUCUGGCCGUAGACGUAUGUGAAUGCUUGUGAAAAAGUUUGAAGGCAAAAAAUAAAAAAUAAAAAAAAUUUUGCCGAGUGUCUGCCUGUGGCACUCGACAAAGGAUGAUGGUGUGUACCACCGUUACCCGUUGCCAAUUGCAAAGAUGUGCCGAGUGGCUGGGACUCGGCAAAGAGCUGAGUGCCAAACUGUGCUGAGUGCUAGACACUUGGCAAAGAGGCUCUUUGCCGAGUGUCAUGCUUUGCCGAAUGCGGCACUCAGCAACGAGGCUCUUUGCCGAGUGUCUGAGUUUUGGCACUCGGCAAAGCAUAUGACAUUCAGUAAAGUUCUGGUUUCCUUGUACUGCUUACAAUUUAGAACAGAUGAAAUAAAUCUUAAGAAUCUUUAGAAUAAUCCGCCUCUUUUGUGUAAAUAUAUUUGGGCACGUGUCUGUAGUAUAUCACCCAUCUGCUAUAAUGCGAAAACUAAGGAUGUCAUCCUUGGACAUGCGUCUGUGGUUAAAUAUUUAGAAGCGUGUGUUAUAGGCGUCUGUAAUUAUGUAAUUAUUAGAUAUUGCAGACGCGCAUUGAUACCGACUGACAAGGGUUAUUGUUCACAGACGCGUGUACCAGAAAAGGCAUCAGUAAGAUGAAACACAGACACGUGU
rnacentral:lncRNA from 1 species